rnacentral:rRNA from 1 species
AUUGAACGCUGGCGGCAGGCCUAACACAUGCAAGUCGAGCGGAUGAAGGGAGCUUGCUCCUGGAUUCAGCGGCGGACGGGUGAGUAAUGCCUAGGAAUCUGCCUGGUAGUGGGGGAUAACGUCCGGAAACGGGCGCUAAUACCGCAUACGUCCUGAGGGAGAAAGUGGGGGAUCUUCGGACCUCACGCUCUCAGAUGAGCCUAGGUCGGAUUAGCUAGUUGGUGGGGUAAAGGCCUACCAAGGCGACGAUCCGUAACUGGUCUGAGAGGAUGAUCAGUCACACGGGAACUGAGACACGGUCCAGACUCCGACGGGAGGCAGCAGUGGGGAAUAUUGGACAAUGGGCGAAAGCCUGAUCCAGCCAUGCCGCGUGUGUGAAGAAGGUCUUCGGAUUGUAAAGCACUUUAAGUUGGGAGGAAGGGCAGUAAGUUAAUACCUUGCUGUUUUGACGUUACCAACAGAAUAAGCACCGGCUAACUUCGUG